rnacentral:lncRNA from 1 species
AGAGAGAGAGAGAAGAGAAUUGGAGAGAGAGAGAGAAAAAGAAGAAAAAUGGUAUUGUGGUGUGAAGAAGAAUGUUUCUGUUGCUUUUAAAAAAAGCACGCUGUUACAUUAUCUCCAACUACAAAAAUUUUCGUCCUCGAAAAUGAACUUACCAAAAUAGAGAUUAGGGUAUGAUGCUCGUAUCUCCUCUUCAAUUUCCCAAGUGGAGUCUCCAGAUAUGAGAUCCCACAAUACUUUCAUCAUGGGAAUACUUCUUCCACGAAGUUGUUUCACUUGUGAAUCUAUAAUUCUGAUUGGCUUCACUUCAAAUGACAGAUUUUCUUUCACCUGGAUGGAAUCAGACUCUAGAAUGUGGCUAGGAUCAGGCACAUACUUUCGUAGCUGGGAUACAUGGAAAAUAUUGUGAAUGUUAGCUAAAGGAGGAGGCAAAGCAAUUUCAUAAGCCACAG